UCAUAAGAGUGCGGGCUUAUUCGGAAUUCCAGUUAGUGCCCUCGAAUGUCUAGCAGAGGAAGUCUCUCACCCGGUCGAUACGACGGUGUCGCAUUAACCACCGUCGGUUUGUCCCAACUGCAAUUUCGUAUAAGCUUUAUAGCAAGAAAGAAGAAUAAUAUAAAAAGUGGAUACAGAUAAGGGGAAAGAUGAAAUUAAAAAAAAGAAGCAAUAUCUCCGUAGCAAUAUCUCCCACGCUUAAAUAAACAUCGGCAGGAUAUUGCCGUGCGACUUCUUACAAGAUUUGAAGAUUAGAUAACAUUGAAAAAAACCCGAUAAAAAAGAAUCUUAAAUUACAUCGGAUCGUCUGUACUACGCCCGAAUCGACAAUGACGCUUAUCGCAUCGAAUGCCCGAUAACGAUGCGACCGAGCGACAGGGGAGGAAAAAAGGAGAUCGUUUGUCAAUUUCCCGGUUCGCUGCUGAUUGGUUCCUGAGCCGUGUCGCGCUACGUCCAUACUUUAUGCGUAUAAAACUCCAGAGACGGGAGUGAUGCGAUGUUAAAUACGGAAGUAACGAUCCGGAGAUUGCGAGUUUUAGAUUAUUGAAAAAAGAAGCGACAGAUUUGGUUUCACCUGUGGAACUCGUUAUUAAUGUAAAGUUAGAUGAAGCUUUGGAACGAUGAUAAUUUAAUUUUUUAAAUAAACGUGCUCGGUGCGAAGAAAAUAUGAUUCUAAAUAAAAGUAAACAAGUAAUUAAGCGUUAUUACAAUGUACGUAAAAGUAUGUUGCAUGUUCAAAAUUGGGACGUAAGACGUUUUAAAGAUAUCAUUGAAGACACGCAAUCUAUCACACAUUUUUGUGAAAGCGACGGAUCAGUAUCAGAAGCAGUGUAAGCGGACGAAGGCUUACGGCAUUGCGGAUUGGUAAAAGAGGCUGUUUAUGCAUUCUUGGCGCGAAGGCAAUCGUGGGGAUGGCGGGUGCUGGAUGCCGUGCGAGAACCAGACAAGAGAACAAUUACGCGCCGUCAGUCCCGUGACCGGCAGGAUACCAUGAGGUGAAUCAAAACUAGGUGUGUGCCAUCACCUCUGGGCCAGGUCUAUCUUCGCGUUCCGAGGCCACGUUCUGCGUCCCGGAGGAGAAGGAUCGAA